CAUAUUGAUUUUUAGGGUUCCAAGUCUUUCACUGCUUUUAUUCUUCAAAACAUCUAUUCACAGUCCUUUUGAAAAGUUAAGCGAGAAAUGUUUCUUACUGAAGAUUAGAUUUAAGCUCGUUUUUACAUUGGAGGUUAAUAAUCUCCAUUUGAAAUAUUUCAGGUACAUUGUCAUAUCAGUAUUUUCAUUGCUUGCAGGAAUAUAGAAUCUGAGGCAGGCGUUUAUUUUACAUAACGUAGUUUUCAAAUCUUCUGCGAGAACUUUUAAUCUUCACCGUGUUCCGCGACAAACUAAUGCUACUGAAGGAGGCUUUUCCUUAGAGCAGACGAUGUCAAAAACAGCGAAUAUGCAUUCCUUAACAAGUUCUCCGUUCUUGAAAUUGGAAUGGUUUCAACUGUUUUGACAAAAAUUCACCAACAGCAAAACUGACACGUGCUGCAAUUUCAGACUUGGUGUUUGCACGAGUGAAGAGAGCUUCAACAAUUCCCUCUUUCACAAAUAAUUUGAAUCAAUAUUGUAAAUUUAUACUAAAUGAGCACCUUACCAUUGCAGCUUUUCCAGCUUUUUUCAGUGACCUAAUAUACAUAUCACAUUUCGUACAAUGAUUGAGCUCGUAAAGUCAUUAAAAUUCCUUCAAAUCAAAUCAAACAUAAUAUUCUCUCAUCAACGAAACAUUUUUUUUUGUCUUUAUUAGCGAGACUUUCAACAAAAAGAAACAAUUUUCGAACAAAUUAAACAAACCGGUUUUCUUCUGGUCAUGUUGCCAAACUUCAAUGAAAAUGCGAUGUUUACACCAACCUUCCAUUUCUUGGGGUCACUCAAUGCUCAGUCAAUGAUUUGAAUCCUAAGAUUCUCAAUUCUCAAAAGUUUUAAGAAACUUCUAUAUUUUUUUUUGAGAACAGAAAAUCAAAUUUCUCAAACACUUAAACCUAACAUUGUCCCUGAUAAGAAUUGCAAAAUUUCACUCAGGCUCCCAAAUUUUAAAGAUAUUUUCUUAACCUAGUAAAAAGUUCAAAAUCCUUGCAGUUUUUAAAGUUCUGUUACUUUUCGUUGGCAUUAUAUUAUUAACUGCAAUGCUCCGGAACUUUGUUGAUAUUUUUGCAUUGUUAGCACGAUGAAACUGCCCAGUCGAGAAAACUUUCUGAACCAAACCGGGAAUCAAACCCGGCCUCCUUAAUCAUGGUGUUGCAUCAGAAGACUAAAAGUUUCUGGAACUGUUUUAUUUUUGGAAACACCGAACAUCUUUAUUUUUUACUCUUUUUGGUGGAAGUAUCCUAAAUUUCACUUUGUUUUCGUAACGCAUCCGUGUUAUAAUUAAAGUUGAAGUUAACACACCUGAAUAUGAAAAUUAUGAUUGUUAGCAAGGUUAAAAAUUGAUAAGUCGAUAUACGUAAAUUCGUCAUUCCAAAGUAAGCCCAAAAUUAUGUUUUUGAAUGUUCAAUCAAAUUGAAUGGUUAGGUUUGAUAAAAGCUCAGUGAAAAUUACUCACCCAUUUUUACAAUUGAGCUUACUGGUAAAUAAAAUAAACUAGGGGUACCUCAAGAUGUGCCAAGGUCUUAAGGGGUACCACUUAAUAAAAAGGUUGAGAACCGCUGCUCUAUAGUUUACAGUUUCACUUCACUGAAAACGUCAGGGUCACAUGUCACAAGCGUUCCGAUAUAGACGAUUUAUUAGUUUCAACUAUACGGGGGCCCUGCUUUUGUCUAGCGGUAAGAUGCGCGGCUACAAAGCAAGACCAUGCUGAGGGUGGCUGGGUUCGAUUCCCGGUGCCGGUCUAGACAAUUUUCGGAAUGGAAAUUGUCUCGACUAUACAUGAAUCUUUGAAAAAUUUUGGACACAUUGGUGUUCCCGGGAACCUGGUUCCCUCAGGAGACCGGACAAAUUUCGAUUAGCACCGCAACCCAUCUUGCGAAAUGUCAAACUCCAUGAUUUUGGAAGACAAGCGCAAUACAUGAUUUUUUGUGGGAGAUUUUUUACACAUUGGACACUGAUAUGGAAAUGCUAAUAUCAUCUUCCAAACUUGGACGUACAUGUUCAUGAUAGCAUUAGAGGCGAAAGUAUAGAAUUGAUAGUUCCGUUAGGAUACGGCAGGCAUGAAGAAUGUUUUUAUAGAAGUCGAUUUGAAAGCGAGCGGAGGGCAAUAUUUGUGAUGGCACAUAUCGCACGACCUUCCUUCUGCCAAGCUCCCGUAUGAAGGGGGAGGGGACACGUCCGGAAGUGUUCCCGGAAACUGGUUCCCUCCGGGGAUCGGACAAAUUUCGAUUGGCACCGCAACCCAUCUUGCGACAUGUCAAACUUCCCACGGGCACAAAUAAGCUAAAACUUAAAACAAAAGUUUUAAAAAAUGACCCGUUUUUGACUGCACCUGACCCAGGACUCCCCCUUAAUAAAUCUGUCCAAUGGUGUACCAAAAAAUAGACAUGAUUAUUCUUCCCUGGAAAUUUCAUGGCAAUCGGACGAAAAAUGAGCCCACACGGGUUAUUUCAAUUUUGAUUUCUAGGUCAGACCGAAACGGGUUAAGUAGCCUAACAUGUAGUUUUCCAAAGUUCUUACCCUACUUAUUCAAAAGUUUUUAGUAUACACAUCACUGUUAAUAACAUUUUAAACUUCUUAUCUUAAUCAUGUUGAAGUGCAGUGCUUUCACGCACUGCAGCUCCCACUACUGCAUCUAUGUUAACAUCAAAGAUGAAGCCAAAUCGGGUUAAAUAUAAAAAAAAAACAAAUGAAUGAAAUAUCAAAAACGAAACACACAUGUCUAAUUUAAAUUCAUUUUCAGCUUGAAUAAUACGUACAGAAUAUUACACCUCUUACCAUGUUUAUCCUGCCAAAUGCUAAAAUUUUUAAAUCGAACCUGAUGUGCUCCAAAUUUUCGCCAAAAAAUAUCACAUAGGUUUGUCAUUGUUAUAUCAAUUAUUACGUAUGAGAAAUCCGCAACGGAUGACAUUAUUUUAUUUCCGCCCUGUUCGAAUUACGUAUCAGCAAUAUCACCCCCGUAUGUGUCAAUAUUAUCAUUAACUGAUAAGUUCUCACUUAGAAAUUAGAUCAGGUAGAUCAGGAUAGGGGAAGAGUAUGAAUUAAAAUAUAUUCAAUAUACAAAACAAAAAUUAACGUAGACGAGGUAGCAACAAGAGCAGCAAUUCACUUUAAGUAAAUGGGCGAAAAAAAAAACAAUUGAGUGGGAUUUUAGUUUUAGAUAUGCCGAUUACACAUACAUGAGUAAAUUUUAUAUUGUGCGUAGUUUGUGGAUGUUUAUCAUAUUAUUUCUGCAUAAAAGACUUAGGUUGCAAAAUGCAAACACAUGUUCUCAUUCGGACGGAACCGAACGCGCAAAAAAAAUCGUUCUGCUCCUAAUCAGACUGUUAUUUACGUCCCAUUAGGUUCUACAAUCAAAGCAGCGUAUUCUGUUUUCAACACUAUUGUUAACUAGCACAGCUAUGAAUCGAAUCAAACGAAACACUAUCGAGGCCAUACAGUUUUUAAAACAGGACACAUUAUUUUAAAACUUUCAUUCAACUUACGUUAAAGAUAUUGUUAAUGUUUAAACGAAGAAUCAAUGGUUUUAUUUUUAGUCAUCAUCACAAAGAACCCACAUUACAGCGCUUUUACCAUUAAAUAUACUUUAAUCCACAAGGUAUUAAGUUUAAUCAUUCCAUCUGAAGCCGGGACAUAUAAUUUUGAAAACUAUCCCUGGUUUCAAGUCCCACCAAAACAGAAUCUUCCUCUGUGUUGUGUUUAUGUUUAUGCUUGCCAAAUAGUUACUCACGGUACCACCCGUUUUUGUUCGCUUAGUUCUGAUGUUAUAAACAGGUCUAAAAGCAAGCAAACCAAUAAAGAACGCCAAUCCGAACGAAAAGUUGCAAAGUUCCCCUGUAUAAAUGACCUAAAUACCAACACCCGCUCCCUUGCAAAAGUUACUCAUUGUUGGUAACCGUAGAAAUUGUUAAAGCCAUAUAUUACAAAACAAAAACCCAAGAAAGUUGAACAAUUUACGCAUUAUUUCUGUUGAACUUGAGUCCACCAAGUUAUAGAAGAUGAGAUGUUAUUUUUUCUUAACAACCAAACACACGUAUUUUUGUAUCGAAUGUCUCCGAACGAAAAAGAGCAUAUAGAAACUUUGUGCGAGUUUGAAACAAAAAUAAUUACCUUGAGUUGUUCAAUACCAACACCUAAAACGUAAGGAAGAGUUUGUACGAGAAAGAGCGACGAAUAUGUUAGUGAGAAAAAAUGGGUUCAAACAUUGUGUAUUAUCAGUUACGUAUCGGGUGAGGAAACAUUAGCUCUAGAAUUUUGAUUAUCAAUCAUCGGAUAUUUGGGUUCAGAGGAUGAAAUAUAUAAUGCAAUGGAGAAAUUGAGAGGCAGACAUUGUAAAACAUUAUUUAGGUUAUAAUGAAGUAAAAUAACGAAAUAAAAGCGCA